rnacentral:rRNA from 1 species
GACGAACGCUGGCGGCGUGCUUAACACAUGCCAGUCGAGCGGUAAGGCCUUUCGGGGUACACGAGUGGCGAACGGGUGAGUAACACGUGGGUGAUCUGCCCUGCACUUCGGGAUAAGCCCGGGAAACUGGGUCUAAUACCGGAUAGGACUGCGCGGUGCAUGCCGUGUGGUGGAAAGAUUUAUCGGUGCAGGAUGGGCCCGCGGCCUAUCAGCUUGUUGGUGGGGUAAUGGCCUACCAAGGCGACGACGGGUAGCCGGCCUGAGAGGGCGACCGGCCACACUGGGACUGAGACACGGCCCAGACUCCUACGGGAGGCAGCAGUGGGGAAUAUUGCACAAUGGGCGCAAGCCUGAUGCAGCGACGCCGCGUGAGGGAUGACGGCCUUCGGGUUGUAAACCUCUUUCAGCAGGGACGAAGCGUGAGUGACGGUACCUGCAGAAGAAGCACCGGCCAACUACGUG